rnacentral:misc_RNA from 1 species
UUGUGCAUCACAUAAUGUUUCAUCAGAAGAAAUCUUAAAAUUAAUAGUCUUGCAGUUCAAACAAACAAAAACUCUCACAUGACUUGUCACGAGUAAACAACUGAAGCCCCUUAUUAAGAAUAAAUUACUUUGCCAAGAAAGUGACAAACAAAACAGGAUCUAAUCAGAUCCUCUGCAGAGUCAGAUUUGAAAUUGGAAUGUUCACAGUUACAUCAAAACCCCCCUUAUAAAUAGGGCCCAAGUUAAUUCUUGAUAUGUUGAAUUAUUUCCCUCCAUUUAUACCUCACAAAAUUCCAGUUCACUGAACUUUCGGACUCUCAAAUCAAAAUUACAUUUGAAAGAAAAAAAUGAAGGUGUUCUGAUACUUCCCUGCAAAAAGUAAAGAAGAGCUCAACUAAAGUCUGCCAGACUUAUCUUCCAGAUUCUAUGUUGGUGUGGAGAAGCUGACCCGAAACCCUGACUUCCCAUGGUCAUAAUCAAAUUUCUUCAACAUGUAGCAGUAGUUUAACUGGAAACAAAAUCCACAUAAUUAGCAAAGAAAUACCAGGGUCGGGUCUUGUAGAAAGAAAUCGCAAAACGAAAACAAAAGAAAGACAUUUUUUAAAGAAAAACACCCUAACAUGGAAUUUGCACAACAAUAGACCCUGCCUUAAAGUGAUCAAGAACAAAUAGCAGCAAAUUCCUUGUUUAGUUGUGGUAUGUUUUACAGAAAAUUAUUCCCAGGAAACUGAAAAAUGGAGUCUGGUGUUGUAAAUGUUUUCCUAAUGGAAAGUUAGAAAUCAAUUUUGUAAGUUUCCAAAUUUACACUAACCUUUGUUUUCCAAAUUUCCAUUAUAUGAAGAGCACAGACCCCAGCAACAAUACUCCUUACAAUAUGUCCUUCCAUCCAACUUCAUAAUAUAAUUGACAGAAAUAAAAGCCAUACAAAUAACAUAAACAUGGGGUCAUAUUGCGUAAUUCAAGAUUGUCAUGUUUACACAACUAACAAUUCUCAAACAAAAAAAAUGCCAAGCUUACCAUAAGCAGUAUAUUCAAUGUUCAAAUUUUUACAUCAAAACUCAGACAUAAGAACAGAGAAACACAGAGAAGCAGCUUGGAAAUAAAGCAUUUUAACACUGCAUAGUUUUAUAAAUAAAUGUGUGGCAUUUGUUUUUAAAUCCCUUCAUCUACAAAUGAUAUUGGAAGGGAAGACUUGUCAUAACUCAGAAGGUUUUUCUAGAGUUCAAGGUUUUAACUUUUAAAAAAUUGAAAGUAGGCGAUGUCCCUUUGCAAGUGUCCCCAAGCUAAAGGCCAAACUAAAAUUUUUAGCAAUGAAAAUUAACUGCUCUAAACAAGUGGCAUGUAUUAUAUUAAUUACUUGUGUCUUGGGAAAAGAAAAAAGAAGAGUAAAUAGCUUUGUAGAAGGAAAUCACUCCAUGAUACUAUGUUAGUGGACCCCAAGUUCAUCCGUCAAGAAGGUUUUCAAACCUGGCUCAAUCAAUGAAUUGAGGGUUAAGGGUUUAAACCCGACCGGGUUUGACCAGGUCGCCAGUUAACCGGCCGGUUCAAAGAGGUUCAGAGCAGAUUUGUAAAAAACUGUGUAGGUGAACGAUCUCCAAUUUCCGGUUAACCUGGUCUGACCGACUGGUCGGGUUCGAUUCUGAAAACCAUGAUGACCACACACAAAUCCAAGAGGUAAAAGAAUUUCUGAGCAAAGUACCAGGAAAUCCAGCUCAUGUUCUGAGGGGAUUACCUUCUAUUAUCCUACAACCCAAAGUGAAUUAUUCUUUAUUGCUUAGGUUCAAGAUAAAGACAAAUAACUGACCUCCAGACGGAACAGAUUUGUAGGAACAACAAUCCCAACUCCCACAGAGGUUCGAAAUGAUUCCACAAACUUUCGCACAGAGAAAUUUUGGUAUGCAUUUUCUGUCAAUUUGUCAAUAUUUCCAGCAGAUGCAAACAUGUGUCCAUGGAUACCUUUUGAUUGACACCACUUGGAUGGAAAAUCAAAAGAAAAAUCUGCAAAAGCAGUAACAGCAAGAUCUCCUCCAAGAUAAUCUCUCCCAGAUUCAGAACUACCAUCAGUUGGAUUAUUUUGCAAUUGCCUUCGAGGCUCAGUGGGGCCCAGUCCUCUUGUACUAAACCCAUAUAACGCUAUUGGACCUCCCAAAGUGCAAAUUGGAGAUAAAUUACCACCCAAGAAGAAUCUCUCUGGUAGGGGAGAAGGCAUGUUUAAGAAUCCAGUUCCCCAUGGAAAAAUAAGACCACCAGAGAUCCCAAGAUUGAGUGCAGAACGCAAAAACCCAAGAGGGACUGCAUAACGAAGAUCAAGCUCCUGGCGCAAAAACCGUAAGCUCCGACUAUCAGGUGCAAGACCACCAAUUUGAGUGGUAGACACAAAAGCAUACCCACGUGUUGGCCUCAAAUGUGAAUUUCUCCUGUCAAUCUUAAAUGUGUAUUUCAAGGAUGAAAGCAAACCAUGACCAAGCUGCCUCCUUAUUGACCUGGAUGCCAUUUGUGAUGGAUCUGUCAAAAUGCGCCAUGAAAGAGUGUACACCAAGUCAUGGUUCCUACUUGAAACUAAACCAAGAGAGAGGCCCAAUGAUCGUUCUUUGAAAGAAGAAAAUUUCAGCCAAUCUUGGGAUAGCAGGAAUAAUCUUGCGGUCACAGGAGCAAGUCCUCUGAAUCUUGGCAAAUACACACCAGAACUUACCUCAGCCAUGUGGUCACCACCAUAUGCUAAAGAGGCAUCCCAAAGAUCACCAUAACCAAAUAUAUUUUUGUACUUGACUGUUCCUUCAAUUGUUGAAGAUCUAGCCUCUCCUUUCGUGUAUGCGCCGACUUCUCCAGACAGUGGACUCUUAGUCUCCACAACCUCAACCACAACAUUAGCCGUCCCAGGAAGCUCCGGAGGGCCCGAAUCAAGCGUGAUCUUAACCGAAUCAAAGACAUCAAGCGCCUGCAACCUGAAAUUCACUACUUUCGAAGCCUCCAGCAAAUCUUGCAUCGACGAAACGUCUUUAAGCAAAGCCGUUUGAGCUUCAAUUAAGGAAUCCUUGGUCUUGGUGUUGCCCUUGAUGAUAACAUCGUGGACACGAAGCGGCACCGUUUCAGUCUGUAUCCGACGGAAGAGAUUCUCUACCUUCGCCCGCUCUCUUCGUGCUCGAGACUCUAGGGUUCGAGAAUUUGGCCAUUCGGGUUGGAUGUCCUCUUCUAGGUCUUCUUUUUCGUCUUCUUCCCCUUCGUCUUCUUCUCCUUCCUCGUCUUCUUCGUCAAUGUCUUCCUCGCCAUUGCUAGGGUUUCCUGAGAUGGAUUCGAGUUCAACUGCCAUUGAAAUGGAAGACGAGAGAGACGGCGACUUGUACGAUAAGCACUGUAUUGAAA